rnacentral:rRNA from 1 species
CCUACGGGUGGCAGCAGUGAGGAAUAUUGGUCAAUGGGGGAAACCCUGAUGCAGCGACGCCGCGUGGGUGAAGAAGCGCCUCGGCGCGUAAAGCCCUGUCAGCAGGGAAGAAAAUGACGGUACCUGAAGAAGAAGCCCCGGCUAACUACGUGCCAGCAGCCGCGGUAAUACGUAGGGGGCAAGCGUUAUCCGGAUUUACUGGGUGUAAAGGGGGCGCAGACGGCGAUGCAAGCCAGGAGUGAAAGCCCGGGGCCCAACCCGUGAACUGCAUUUGAAACUGUUUCCCUUGAGUGUCGGAGAGGUAAUCGGAAUUCCUGGGGUAGCGGUGAAAUGCGUAGAUAUAAGGAAGAACACCAGUGGCGAAGGCGGAUUACUGGACGAUAACUGACGGUGAGGCGCGAAAGCGUGGGGAGCAAACAGGAUUAGAUACCCUUGUAGUC